rnacentral:rRNA from 1 species
UUGCUCAAUGAUUUUUUAAAUUGCUGUGGUAUUUUGACUAUACAAAGGUAUUGUAAUAAGAUUUUAAUUGAAUGCUAAGAGAAUGGAAUUACAAGGAAUAACUAUUUAAAACUUAAUAAUUAAAGUUAUUUUAAUUUGUGAAGAAACAAUUAUUAAAAUUAAAGACAAGAAGACCCUAAGAAUUUUAAAAACAAAUAAUUUUUYAAAAUAAAAAUUAUUUGUUUUUUAGUUGGGGCAACUAGAAAAUAUUAUAAACUUUUUUAAAAUAAAAUGACCCAUUAUUAAUGAUAACUUGAAUAAAAUACUCUAGGGAUAACAGCGUAAUAAUUUUUGAUAGAACAUAUAGACAAAAUAGUUUGCGACCUCGAUGUUGGAUUAGGAUACUUUUUUAAUGAAGAUGUUAAAAAAAGAAGUUUGUUCAACUUUUAAAUUCCUACUUGAUCUGAGUUCAGACCGG